rfam:Camelus ferus unplaced genomic scaffold scaffold598, whole genome shotgun sequence.
AAGGGUAUAGCUCAAGAGGUAGAGCAUAUGAUUAGCAUGCACAAGCUCCUGGGUUCAAUCCCCAGUACCUCCA